GAUGAACGCUAGCGGCAGGCCUAAUACAUGCAAGACGAACGGUGUCUUCGGGCAUAGUGGCGCACGGGUGCGUAACACGUAUGCAACCUACCUUACAUUGGGGGAUAGCCUUUCGAAAGGGAGAUUAAUACCGCAUAAGACAGUAGCUGGGCAUCCAGCAGCUGUUAAAGAUUUAUUGAUGUAAGCUGGGCAUGCGUCCAAUUAGCUAGUUGGUGAGGUAACGGCUCACCAAGGCAAUGAUUGGUAGGGGAACUGAGAGGUCAAUCCCCCACACUGGCACUGAGAUACGGGCCAGACUCCUACGGAAGGCAGCAGUAGGGAAUAUUGGGCAAUGGACGCAAGUCUGACCCAGCCAUGCCGCGUGCAGGAUGAAGGCGUUAUGCGUUGUAAACUGCUUUUAUACAGGAAGAAACGACUCUUGCGAGAGGCAUUGACGGUACUGUAUGAAUAAGCACCGGCUAACUCCGUGCCAGCCGCCGCGGUAAUAC
rnacentral:rRNA from 1 species